rnacentral:rRNA from 1 species
UACGGAAUAUUGGACAAUGUGCGCAAGCAUGAUCUAGUGACAUUACUCAAGUGAAGAAGGUCCAGAGACUGUAAAGCUUUUUAUGAAAAUUAAAUAAUGACAAAAAUUUUCAAGAAAAAGUCCUGGCCAACUCUGUGCCAGCAGCCGCGGUAAUACAGAGGGGGCAAGCGUUAUUCAUCUUGACUGGGCGUAAAGCGUGCGUAGGCUGUUAUUUAAAAUAAACACUAAAGUCUAAAAUAAAUUUUAGAAUUUGUUUAUUAUUGGUUGAACUUGAGUUUAAUAGGUGUUAGUAGAAUUUUCAAUGGAGUAGUAAAAUGCGAAAAUAUUGGAAGGAAUACCGGUAGUUAAAACAGCUGACAAUAUUAAACUGACGCUGUGGCACGAAGGCAUAGGUAGCAAA